rnacentral:lncRNA from 1 species
AGCAAAGGUGUUAUGGUCUGAAUUGUGUUCCCCCCAAAAUCCAUACGUUGAAGUUCCAACUCCCAGUACCUUAAAAUAUGACCAUAUUUGGAGAUAGGGCCUCAAAGCAUGAGAUGAAGUUAAAGUGAGGUCAUUGAGGGGUCACCAUAAUUCAUUAUGACUGGUGUCCCUUUAGGAAGAGGAGAUUAGGACACAGACACACACAGAGGGAAGACCAUGGGAAGACACAGAGGGAAGAUGGCCAUGGAAAAGCUAGAGAGAGAGAGUUCUCAGAAGAAGUAACUCUGCCAACACCUUGAUCUCAGAUUUCUAGCCUCCAAAGGUUAUACCAUGCAGUUUCUCAAAACUAUUUCAAGGACAUGUUGGAAGGAACUGGAGGUUGCAGUUGACUCUGUUGUAGCCUUGCCAGCAUACGUUUUCUGGACUGAAAGCACCUGUCUCUCACUUUCUGUGAGUGUUAGUGGGAACAGUUGCAGUUAUAUUCUUUUUAGAAUUGACCUAAAUAAAAGGGAG